rnacentral:rRNA from 1 species
GAUGAACGCUAGCGACAGGCUUAACACAUGCAAGUCGAGGGGCAGCAUGAACUUAGCUUGCUAAGUUUGAUGGCGACCGGCGCACGGGUGAGUAACGCGUAUGCAACUUACCUAUCAGAGGAGAAUAGCUCAUCGAAAGAUGAAUUAAUGCUCCAUAAAACAGGGGUCCCGCAUGGGAAUAUUUGUUAAAGAUUCAUCGCUCUGAGAUGGCCUCGCGUCUGAUUAGCUAGUUGGUGGGGUAACGGCCCACCAAGGCGACGAUCGGUAGCCGGACUGAGAGGUUGAACGGCCACAUUGGGACUGAGACACGGCCCAG